GCCUCUGUAGCUCAGUGUCAGAGCACUGACUUUGUAAACCAGGAGUCGUGAGUUCAAUUCUCUCAGGAGGCC
rnacentral:tRNA from 1 species